rnacentral:rRNA from 1 species
GACGAACGCUGGCGGCGUGCCUAAUACAUGCAAGUUGAGCGCUGAAGGUUGGUACUUGUACCAACUGGAUGAGCAGCGAACGGGUGAGUAACUCGUGGGGAAUCUGCCUUUGAGCGGGGGACAACAUUUGGAAACGAAUGCUAAUACCGCAUAAAAACUUUAAACACAAGUUUUAAGUUUGAAAUAUGCAAUUGCAUCACUCAAAGAUGAUCCCGCGUUGUAUUAGCUAGUUGGUGAGGUAAAGGCUCACCAAGGCGAUGAUACAUAGCCGACCUGAGAGGGUGAUCGGCCACAUUGGGACUGAGACACGGCCCAAACUCCUACGGGAGGCAGCAGUAGGGAAUCUUCGGCAAUGGACGAAAGUCUGACCGAGCAACGCCGCGUGAGUGAAGAAGGUUUUCGGAUCGUAAAACUCUGUUGGUAGAGAAGACCGUUGGUGAGAGUGGAAAGCUCAUCAAGUGACGGUAACUACCCAGAAAGGGACGGCUAACUACGUG